ACAAGUCAAACAGCCUUCCACUGCCUUUAUUUUUUCGUGUGUGUGUGUGUGUGUGUGUGUGUGUGUGUGUGUUCGCGUGUGUGCAUGCGCGCGCGCCUCUCUUGCGCACACACAUUCCUCAGCUGUCCGAUUUUUAUAUUAUCUUAUUUUAUGUUAUCUAGCCCUGUCCUGGAAACACAUAACUCGCAAAGAACAGGCUGGCCUCCAAAUCACUCACUCAAUCUUGCUGGAUUAAAGGCUGGAUCCACCAUCCACCUGCCAGUCUGGAUUGACUGCAACUGCCGUCCUUCCCCAAGUCACGAAUCCCACACCUACAAAAGAAGAAAUUUAGGAAGACAUCUUUUCCCCUCCAACCCAUGCCCUCUUCCACGGUAUACUUAAAUAAAUAAAUAAAUAAAUAAAUAAAUAAAUAAAUAAAUAAAUAAAUAAAUCAACGAAUGAAAAGUU